rnacentral:rRNA from 1 species
UACGGAGGGUGCAAGCGUUACCCGGAAUCACUGGGCGUAAAGGGCGUGUAGGCGGCAUCACAAGUCUGGUUUUAAAGCCUGCGGCUCAACCGCAGAGAUGGACUGGAGACUGUGAAGCUAGACCUCUGGAGAGAGAACUGGAAUUCCUGGUGUAGCAGUGAAAUGCGUAGAGAUCGGGAGGAACAUCCGUGGCGAAGGCGACUACCUGGACCAGCACUGGCACUGAGGCACGAAAGCGUGGGGAGCGAACAGG